CCUACGGGAGGCAGCAGUGGGGAAUAUUGGGCAAUGGGCGCAAGCCUGACCCAGCAACGCCGCGUGCAGGAAGAAGGCUCUCGGGUUGUAAACUUCCUUUGACAUGGGAGAAUAGAAGACGGUACGUGUCGCAUAAGGCACGGCUAACUACGUGUCAGCAGCCGCGGUAAUACGUAGGUAGCAAGCGUUGUACGGAUGUACUGGGUGUAAAGGGGGCGUAGGCGGGUUGUAAAGUCAGUUGUGAAAGCCUGCGGCUUAACCGGAGAACUGCAUUUGAAACUGGUGAUCUUGAGUACUGGCAGGGGAGCCGGAAUUCCUGGUGUAGCGGUGAAAUGCUUAGAUAUCAUGAGGAACACCAGUGGCGAAGGCGGGUGUCCGGACAGCAACUGACGGUGAGGCUCGAAAGUGUGGGGAGCAAACAGGAUUAGAUACCCGGGUAGUC
rnacentral:rRNA from 1 species